UGCUAUCGGGGUUCGAUUAAGCCAUGCGAGUCGAGAGGUGCAAGACCUCGGCGCACUGCUCAGUAACACGUGGACAACCUACCCUGAGGAGAGGGAUAACCCCGGAAAACUGGGGAUAAUACCUCAUAGACCAGGGAUGCUGGAAUGCUUCCUGGUCCAAAGGUCCGCCGCCUCAGGAUGGGUCUGCGGCCGAUUAGGUUGUUGUUGGGGUAACGGCCCAACAAGCCUUUGAUCGGUACGGGUUGUGGGAGCAAGAGCCCGGAGAUGGAUUCUGAGACACGAAUCCAGGCCCUACGGGGCGCAGCAGGCGCGAAAACUUUACAAUGCGAGAAAUCGUGAUAAGGGAACCCCGAGUGCCCGUAAAUCCGGGCUGUCCGCCAGUGUAAAAAACUGGUGAAGAAAGGGCCGGGUAAGACCGGUGCCAGCCGCCGCGGUAAUACCGGCGGCUCGAGUGGUGGCCGCUAUUACUGGGCUUAAAGCGUUCGUAGCUGGGCUGUUAAG
rnacentral:rRNA from 1 species